AUUUGGUCUUCUCUUGUGUAAGUUAAUUCUCUUUUCUUUCUACUUAGUUAUCUCUCUACUUAAAAGCUUAAAAUUAUUUGGUUCAUUAAACUGUUAUGAGACUAUGCUGAAAAAGGUCUCAGCUUGAUUUGCUUUUCUUCUUUCUUUGUCUUUUGGCUACCUUUGAAGAUUGUUGUUGGUGGAAGGCACAAGUAUUUGAUCAAUGGUCUUGAACAUGAAACCUCCAGAGAUCUUAUCGGUCUGUACAAGUAAGAAAGAAUGGUGAAAGAAACUAUUAUUGACUCAUUGUUGGAGAUUAACUACGGAAGACGUUUGAGGAUCGUGAGCAUGAGCUGCUAAGAGGAGGUAGCAAAAGCGUGGUCGUUAGCCUCUGGGACAUUAGGUUUAGAGGGUGUGUGACUGGAAGACGGUGACGUUAGAGAACUCGUUAUUACGGCGUCGGUCGUGGUGUGGUGCGGGCGUAAGGAGAU